AUUGAACGCUGGCGGCAUGCCUAACACAUGCAAGUCGAACGGCAGCGCGUUUGGGGUAACCCAAAUGGCGGCGAGUGGCGGACGGGUGAGUAAUAUGUAGGAAUCUGCCUUGAGGAGAGGGAUAACGUAGGGAAACUUACGCUAAUACCAUAUAAGUUCUACGGAAGAAAGCGGGGGAUCGAAAGACCUCGCGCCUUAAGAUGAGCCUACAUCGGAUUAGCUUGUUGGCGGGGUAAAGGCCCACCAAGGCGACGAUCCGUAGCUGGUCUGAGAGGAUGACCAGCCACACUGGGACUGAGACACGGCCCAGACUCCUACGGGAGGCAGCAGUGGGGAAUAUUGGACAAUGGGGGCAACCCUGAUCCAGCAAUGCCGCGUGUGUGAAGAAGGCCUUCGGGUUGUAAAGCACUUUCAGUGGGGAGGAAGGGGUUCGUGUUAAUACCGCGAAUCAUUGACGUUACCUACAGAAGAAGCACCGGCUAACUCUGUGCCAGCCGCCGCCGUAA
rnacentral:rRNA from 1 species